rnacentral:lncRNA from 1 species
AACUCGCUCUGGCCUCCUUCCUUAGUGUGAUAGCUUUGUUCUUUUGCUCUUUGCAAUAAAUCAUGCUGCUGCGCACUCUUUGGGUCCAUACUGCCUUUAUGAGCUGUAACACUCACCACGAAGAUCUGCAGCAUCACUCCUGAAGCCAGCGAGACAACGAACCCACGGGGAGAAAGAAACUGAACACGUCCGAACAUCAGAAGGAACAAACUCCAGACGCGCCACUUUAAGAGCUGUAACACUCACCGCGAGGGUCCGUGGCUUCACUCUUGAAGUCAGUGAAACCAAGAACCCACCAAUUCCGGACACAACAUGACCUGGGGCAACUCACUGAAACCCCGGUGCCUCUGCUGCUGCUGCCUUUUUUGUGUGUGUGUUUUUUGGUUUUUUUUGGAGAUGGAGUCUCGCUCUGUUGCUCAGGCUGGAGUGCAGUGGCACGAUCUCGGCUCACUGCAAGCUCUGCUUCCCGGGUUCACGUCAUUCUUCUGCCUCAGCCUCCUGAAUGGCUGGGACUACAGGCGCCCACCACCACACCCAGCUAACUUUUUGUAUUUUUAGUAGAGAUGGGGUUUCACCGUGUUAACCAGGAUGGUCUCGAUCUCUUGACCUCGGGAUCCGCCCGCCUCUGCCUUCUAAAGUGCUGGGGAUUACAGGAGUGAACCACCGCGCCCGGCCCUUUUUUUCUUUUUUGAGACAGAGCCUCUCUCACCCAGGCUAGAGUACAGUGGUUCGAUUUCAGCACACUGCAACCUCCACCUCCCGGGUUCAAGCGAUUGUCCUGCCUCAGCCUCCCGAGUAGCUGGGAUUACAGGCACCCGCCACCAUGCCCAGCUAAUUUUUUUUUUUUUUGCAUUUUUAGUAGAAACGAGGUUUCACCAUGUUGGCUAGGCUGGUCUUGAACUCCUGACCUCCAGUGAUCCGCCUGUCUUGGCCUCCCAAAGUGCUGAGAUUACAGGUGUGAGCCACCAUGUCCAGGCUUCUUCUUCUUUAAAAUAUAUCAUAGCAUCUACUCCCUUAGAGGAGUUAUGUGAAGAUUAAAUGAGUAUGUGUGAAGCGGUUAAAACAGUUCCUUGCACAGCACAAUGUAAGUGCUAUUCAUAUUAAUUUUUUUUAAUUUUUUUGAGACAGGGUCUUGCUUUUUUGCCAAGCCUAGAAUGCAGUGGCAUGAUUGUGGCUCACUGCAGCCUCCACCUCCCCAGGUACAGGUGAUCCUCCCACCUCAGGUUUUGGGGGUUUUUUGGUUUUUGUUGUUUCUGUUUUUUUAGUAGAGGGGUUUCACCGCAUUGUUCAAGCUGAUCUCGAACUCCUGAGCUCAAGCAGUCUGCCUGCCUUGGCCUCCCAAAGUGCUGGGGUUACAGGCAUGAGCCGCCGCAUCUGCCUGGUAUUAAUAUUAACGUUAAGGGAAUCUCCCCUCCCCUCCCUUCCCCUCCCCUCUCCUUUUCUUUUCCGGCGUCUCACUUUGUCACCCAGGCUGGAAUGCAGUGGUGCAAUCAGCUCACUGCAACCUCCGUCUCCAGGGUUCAAGCAAUUCUCCUCCCUCAGCCUCUGAGUAGCUGGGAUUACAGGCGUGUGCCACCACACCCAGCUAAUUUUUUUGUAUUUUUAGUAGAGACGGGUUUCGCCAUGUUGGCCAGGCUGGUCUCGAACUCCUGACCUCAGGUGAUCCACCCACCUCGGCCUCCCAAAGCGCUGGGAUUACAGGUGUGAGCCACUGCACCUGGCCAAUCUUUUCUUUUUAAUUACAAAUAACAAGAGAGAGGAUUGGGGGUUAAAACUUUGGGAGAGAAAAGGGAGAAGCCACGUAAGCAGAGAAGAGAUGGUUCCAAGAGUCCCCAUAGAAACUUGGCCUCAGAGAGGGACAGAGACCCUUCUGCUGCUGAAACAAGGCAGCCUACAGUCCCCAGGGUGUCCUGUCCAUCUCCACCAUGACUCCUGCCCAGGACCACCCCAGUGCUCAAGCAGGGCAGCCUCACCUGCUUUAGCACAGAAGCCUCCUGUCGGUUUGUUUCUCUGGGGGCCUGAUUCCCUGAAGCAGCAGCAGGUUUCCCACCAUCUUUAUCGCUUUACCUCUGCCCAGGAUUGCCACACGCGGUGCAUGUGGGGAAGAGCUCAUUGGGGAAGAUUCUGGCAGAAAGAUAACCAGAAAGUUUGCACCAAAACCCAGCCUGACCUCUCUCUCCCCUAAAAAUCGGGUGCAUAGACUUCCUGUUCCUUGCACAGCAUAGUAAUCCGUUUUGUUGCUAAUAUUUACCAGCCUUAUCCAACUGUGAGGCCAGGCUUCCUCUGAGGCCUCUGGGACCUACCCCAGCAAACGGGUCCUAGAAUCUCCACUGCCUCCCUUAAAUGAUGGGCUAGGGAGUGACUGGGGAGACGCAGGGUAGAACCCCAAAGACGUCGUCCUCAUACUGUUCCAGACAGAAGGAGCCAAGUCUUGAUCUGUGCUGGCAAAGUAAUUUUUCAAACUGGAAUUGCUGGUAAGGCUGCUUCCCUAAAAGGCAACUCAAGUCCUGUCCUCGGCCUGCCUUUCCCUGGAGCCAUGGCUCCCUGCCAUUGUGCAGACACUUCUCUAGAUUCUCUAGGGCACAGGGUUCUUCUAGUCCAUUCUCCCCCAUCUCAACCCCUUAACUGCCCUCUCAGCUACCCUCAGCCCACUCAGGAUAACAAUGAACAUUUGGAAAACUUCUCUAAUAAUGCUCUAGAAAAGCAAAAACGGCGCGGUGGCUCUCGCCUGUAAUCCCAGCACUUUGGGAGGCUGAGGUAGGCGGAUUACUUGAGGUCAGGAGUUCAAGACCAGCCUGGCCAACAUGGUGAAACCCU